UAGCGUAGGGCGCAAGCGUUAUCCGGAAUUGUGGCGUAAAGAGCUCGUAGGCGGUUUGUCGCGUCUGCCGUGAAAGUCCGGGGCUCAACUCCGGAUCUGCGGUGGGUACGGGCAGACUAGAGUGAUGUAGGGGAGACUGGAAUUCCUGGUGUAGCGGUGAAAUGCGCAGAUAUCAGGAGGAACACCGAUGGCGAAGGCAGGUCUCUGGGCAUUAACUGACGCUGAGGAGCGAAAAGCAUGGGGAGCGAACAGG
rnacentral:rRNA from 1 species